GGCGGCGUGCCUAAUACAUGCAAGUCGAACGCACUGACGUCGACAGAAGGUGCUUGCACUGGAAGUUGAUUGACGUGAGUGGCGGACGGGUGAGUAACACGUGGGUAACCUGCCCUUAAGCGGGGGAUAACAUUUGGAAACAGAUGCUAAUACCGCAUAAAAGUUGAGAUCACAUGGUCUUAAUUUGAAAGACGGCCUUUGGCUGUCACCUAAGGAUGGACCCGCGGCGUAUUAGCUAGUUGGUGAGAUAAUAGCCCACCAAGGCGAUGAUACGUAGCCGACCUGAGAGGGUAAUCGGCCACAUUGGGACUGAGACACGGCCCAAACUCCUACGGGAGGCAGCAGUAGGGAAUCUUCCACAAUGGACGAAAGUCUGAUGGAGCAACGCCGCGUGAGUGAAGAAGGUUUUCGGAUCGUAAAACUCUGUUGUUGGAGAAGAACAGGGACUAGAGUAACUGUUAGUCCUUUGACGGUAUCCAACCAGAAAGCCACGGCUAACUACGUGCCAGCAGCCGCGGUAAUACGUAGGUGGCAAGCGUUGUCCGGAUUUAUUGGGCGUAAAGCGAGCGCAGGCGGUUUCUUAAGUCUGAUGUGAAAGCCUUCGGCUUAACCGAAGAAGUGCAUCAGAUACUGGGAAACUUGAGUGCAGAAGAGGAAAGUGGAACUCCAUGUGUAGCGGUGAAAUGCGUAGAUAUAUGGAAGAACACCAGUGGCGAAGGCGGCUUUCUGGUCUGUAACUGACGCUGAGGCUCGAAAGUAUGGGGAGCGAACAGGAUUAGAUACCCUGGUAGUCCAUACCGUAAACGAUGAAUGCUAAGUGUUGGAGGGUUUCCGCCCUUCAGUGCUGCAGCUAACGCAUUAAGCAUUCCGCCUGGGGAGUACGACCGCAAGGUUGAAACUCAAAGGAAUUGACGGGGGCCCGCACAAGCGGUGGAGCAUGUGGUUUAAUUCGAAGCUACGCGAAGAACCUUACCAGGUCUUGACAUCUAGCGCCAAUCCUAGAGAUAGGACGUUCCCUUCGGGGACGCUAAGACAGGUGGUGCAUGGUUGUCGUCAGCUCGUGUCGUGAGAUGUUGGGUUAAGUCCCGCAACGAGCGCAACCCUUAUGAUUAGUUGCCAGCAUUUAGUUGGGCACUCAAAUCAGACUGCCGGUGACAAACCGGAGGAAGGUGGGG
rnacentral:rRNA from 1 species